UUCGCGGCGGAAGGCUGCCUGCAGCCUUUUUAGUCUUUCAUGGAACGACAUCUGUAUGGAACCUACUUUCAAAUUUUGUCACCACACUCGCAGUGGCGGUGGUGCGCUGUUACCUGUUCAACCCAAAGAAACGUCAUUUGCAAGCCAAGAUUUGGGUUUGAUUAUUUGGGUUUUUAACAAUAUUGGACUUUCAGUUGCGUAGUGAAUGACAACUUCACCAGAAAGAAGACCGACAAAGAAUGGUACUGCGCCAUUUGUUGGCAAGUUUCGAAGUUAAUCGGAGGGCAAAUUAAGUUGAUUCCCAAAAGUUUGGUGCUGUGCUGUUCCCUUCUGUGUCAGCCUGAGGACUGGAGGCCACAGAAUCAGGGACACAACCUUGCUCUCUCCCAAGUAGGUUCUGAUAACGCGCAGCUGUCUUGGACGGCGAACUCAAGAGGAGGCAUUCGAUACAUCCAGGGGGUCAUCAAGUGUCGCUUGUCCUUUCCUGCUUUGCGUCACUUUUCAGUACCAAGCAUGUUCUCUCUGGCACCCGCACUCAAACAAAAAUGACCCACUUUGCCUCUCGAGAAGAGGAACCGUUUCUUUCGUGUAUUUCCUAAACCUACACAGAUGUAAACAAACACGCAUCAAUGUACUUAAUAUGCAUUGAUGUUGAUUGAGGUCAUCUCGUAAGGGACAAAAAAUGUAACUACACAGCAAAAUAUUCAUUGUCAAUUCAGCACACAGUUAUUAUACGAGUCCACAAGGGAUGAAAAUGUACUCUGUCAGAGUGGAUUUCAGACGGAACAAUUUUGCUGUAUAGAUUUGUGCUCAGCUAAAACAACUUAGUCAGUUGAGGUCUUACCCUAAAUGUUUAAUAUUGUUAAAGGGACAGAACGCGGCCUAGCAAGCAAGUGCUUUAUUAAGGUAAACGCAUGACAUUUUGAGCAAGUCAGGCCUGACAAACGCCAUUGAGAUAGCUGAAAGUAAUUUGCUGCUUAAUACAUAUAAUACAGCAUUUGUGCUCUAAACAGUCUCAUGUCUAUUCUGAAAUUCUCAAUCCUGCGCUGGAGCCCUGCCAUUCUUUUUAUGUUCAUAGAAUCACAAAAUUUUAAAAAAUAAACUAAGACCGUGAAGACCAAAGAAAAAGAUGUAAUACCUACUCUUUUCUUUCUCGGUAUGUAGCUGCAGAAGAUGUCGGUUGCAGGAACCAGUACACUGUCGUGUAAAUCAUGGGAAAGCAAUGCUGCAGCUCUUACAACGUUAUAUGGGGACUGACCUGUCCCGAGAUUAAGGCAGCGAUGUGGUCUAUAAAUGUCCAAAUGUAUUGACUGCACCUGGACAUGAGAGCAAGUUGUUUUCUGUUCCACUCUGACUGUCGAGCACUUGAUAUUGGGUUUGUGAAGCUCAGCUAAAUAUCCAAUAAAUGUUCUCCUUUGCAAGACUGCAGUAUAACAGCUGCUGUCUUUUCCUCAGUAGGGCUACCUAGAGUGUGGCAGCGCAAUAGGGAUUUACUGUGUGGGCCACCUAUUUGUACAUUUUAUUAAGUAGUUGGGAAGAAUUUUUCAGUAUCUCAGUAUUACCUGUAAGAUUUACCUGAAGUUGUGUAUGUAGAUAAAAUCCUUCGCACACAGACUUCCUCACACACACACCCGCACACGCAAGCACACCUACACGUGCGUGCACACAAAUGCAAAACACUAUAUACUGUGUGCACAGGUGUGUGCGUGCACGGACGUAUGUAUGCAUACACCUUAAAGUGUAUGGACGUGCCUGAGAGAUGCUUGAAAGGUAAAUGCAUUGUAAAUGUCAAGCGAUAAAGUUUUUGGCGUCUCUACAGUUAAACAUCAAACUCAGUAAUGAUAAAUUACUUUAGAUGAAAGGCUAAUCCUGGUUCAAACAUGGAAGAGGAGGCUGUGAAAAUUGUUUGUCAUAAAGUAUCUUUGCAAAACUUGAUUUGAUUGUUUAUAAUACUGUAUAAUUGAUAUAUCAUAUUGUGUAAUCAUAGCCAUAAACACUAUGUGUCAACUCCCAUAUAAUACUUUUGAAAACGUGUGGUCGUUAUGUAUAUUGAAUAUUCAUAUUUGUUUAUUGAUGCAUUAAUGCGUAGUAUGUGGUAAACAAUUGAACUCCGUUACAAACUGUCAACGCUAAAUACUGUUUGGAGUGAGUGUAUUUUAGAUGGUAUUAAAUAUUGAAGCUGAAAUGAGUUAGGACCACAUAUUUCGGUCCGAAGUGAACGUGUUCAUCUUGCUGUACCAUGUUACUCCUAGGUGGCGGUCGAAACCAAAGAGAAUUCUAAUUAAACGCCUGCUGUGUGUGUGUUUAAGAGACCUAUUAUUGUUAUGUGAAGUGAGUCCACCCAUUUCCUGCAAAAGAUAGAUUGAUGAAGGCAAGUUCAUCGUCAUUAUUUUGGCACGGCAAAAUUACUAAAACUAAACGGUGCUUACAUGUUGCGCAGUAUCGUCAUUCAACACGAAUACACUUAAUCCACGCUCAGUUAAACCCCUUAACUUUUGUGACAAGUCUCUACGCAGUCAUUUUAUUGUAAUACCACUAAAAAGUAGCUGAGCAUAGAUUGCAGAUUUGCUAAGAAGGUAAAGCGCUUCGGCCUCAGUGUCCUUUGCCUGUCUACAGUAUGUUUCCUGAUAACCGACGGAAGGAAAGGUAAUCCGUGUGCAGAAUUUUUAAAAGCUUCUUCAUACUUUAUGCAUUGAUCAAGAAUUAAACUUUUGCCCCCUCGUUUCCUGAAAUAAACGUUUUUGAAAGUUACUGUCA